AUGUUGAAUAAGCAGCUCAGGAAAGACAAGUAACGUUCUCACUUUUCUACUGAGCCGUGGUGAUGUUCUGGGAAGAGGCCUGCAGUUUAAGGAAGAUUAGCACCUGAGGGAACCUGAAGUAAGGACUUCUUACAUUUCAAAAUCAGUAAGUCCAUAAAAAUAUAUUUUUAUACUAUGAGAGGUUUUGUGUAUAAAUCAAAUUUAAAUCUGAAUCAUUUCAAAUGAAGCUACCUGUUAUCGGAAAUUUUUUUGCAGUUUAUCU